rnacentral:misc_RNA from 1 species
GAUGAAGAACGCAGCGAAAUGCGAUAAGUAAUGCGAAUUGCAGAAUUUCCGUGAGUCAUCGAAUCUUUGAACGCACAUUGCGGCCAUAGGUAUUCCUUUGGCCAUGCCUGUUCGAGCGUCAUUUACACCCUCAAGCCUAGCUUGGUGUUGGGCGCCUGUCCCGCCGUUUUCGCGCGCGGACUCGCCUCAAAGUCAUUGGCGGCGGUCGUGCCGGCCCCCUCGCGCAGCACAUUUGCGCUUCUCGGAGGCCCGGCGGAUCCGCGCUCCAGCAAGACCUUUCACGACUUGACCUCGGAUCAGGUAGGGAUACCCGCUGAACUUAAGCAUAUCAAUAAGCGGAGGA